rnacentral:rRNA from 1 species
CUGUAAGCCUGCGAAGGUGGCCUGUGAGGGUUGCUGGAGGUAUCAGAAGUGCGAAUGCUGACAUAAGUAACGAUAAAGCGGGUGAAAAGCCCGCUCGCCGGAAGACCAAGGGUUCCUGUCCAACGUUAAUCGGGGCAGGGUGAGUCGACCCCUAAGGCGAGGCCGAAAGGCGUAGUCGAUGGGAAACGGGUUAAUAUUCCCGUACUUGGUGUUACUGCGAAGGGGGGACGGAGAAGGCUAUGUUGGCCGGGCGACGGUUGUCCCGGUUUAAGCGUGUAGGUGUGUGUUCCAGGUAAAUC